rnacentral:rRNA from 1 species
UACGUAGGUGACCAGCGUUGUCCGGAUUUACUGGGCGUAAAGGGCUCGUAGGUGGCCAACUAAGUCAGACGUGAAAUCCCUCGGCUUAACCGGGGAACUGCGUCUGAUACUGGAUGGCUUGAGUUCGGGAGAGGGAUGCGGAAUUCCAGGUGUAGCGGUGAAAUUCGUAGAUAUCGAGAGGAACACCGGUGGCGAAGGCGGCUUUCUGGACGGUUACUGACGCUGAGACGCGAAAGCGUGGGGAGCAAACGGG